rnacentral:rRNA from 1 species
GCAAGUCGAGGGGUAACAGAUUUGAUUUAUUCGAUGCUGACGACCGGCGAACGGGUGAGUAACGCGUACACUACCUACCUUAUACAGGGGGACAUACACUGGAAACGGAGUAAAUACCCCAUAUGAUGGAGACAUUAAAGCUACGGCGGUAUAAGAUGGGUGUGCGUACUAUUAGGUAGUUGGUAGGGUAACGGCCUACCAAGCCGACGAUAGUUAGGGGGCGUGAGAGCGUGAAC